GGGUAAAAACAUAUGGAAUUUAUCUAAAUUAUGGACUAUUUGUAUUUGACUUUUCAACCUUUCAAAUUUUGAUUUUGCUACAUAUUCUUUCAAUUUAUUUGAUUUGAAUUAGUCAACCGUAUUUUAAUUUUAAAAUUUGUAUGUUUUGCUUAUCUUUAGAAAUUUAAUUAGUAUGUUUUAUACAAUUUUUACAACUAUAAGUUUAUUAAAGUAAAAAAUAGUUUAAAUUUUACAGUUAAAGUAUCAUUGGCUAACUCAAAUCAAAAAAAUUAAAAGAUUGGAUAAUAAAAUUAAAAUUUUUCACGAUUUAGACAAGUUUCAUAAAUUUUAACUUUAUUAUCUAUAUACAUAUAUAAUAAUAGGUCUUGUAUGCUAUUAGGAGCACGAAGGCCUCCAUGCUCCUAAGCAGUUUUUUAUGAUGGAGUUUUCGAAUCGACGAUCAACUCCGUUAGACUUGAUCUAGCACAUUUAAAAUAUCUAGAAAAUAAAUUUUAUAAUUUGUCGAUAUUAUUUACCUAAUGAUUAAAAGGGUUCAAAAUCAACAAUUUUUAAUAGUUGAUGUAUACCGUUUGCAAGUUUAACUGUAUAGAAAUAUUCAAAUUAGAUAAAAUUUUAAUAGAGAAAUCUUUAUACUAUUUACAGCAAGAUUAAUAUAUUUGAUCAAAAAUUUUAGUGUUAUAUCACCACUUUUUAUGAGAUUUUUAUUUUCAGCUGUUGAUUUUGAACCCUUUUAAUUGAAAGAUAGGUAAAUGAUAUCGAAAAAUCACAAAAUUUAUUUUUUAGACACUUUAAAUACUUUAGAUCAAGUCUAAUAGAGCCGAUCGUCGAUUCAAAAAUCUCAUCAUAAAAAAUAAUUUAGGAACACGGAGACUGCCUCCGUGUUCCUAAUUGCAC
rnacentral:lncRNA from 1 species